rnacentral:rRNA from 1 species
GACGAACGCUGGCGGCGUGCUUAACACAUGCAAGUCGAACGGAAAGGCCCUGCUUUUGUGGGGUGCUCGAGUGGCGAACGGGUGAGUAACACGUGAGUAACCUGCCCUUGACUUUGGGAUAACUUCAGGAAACUGGGGCUAAUACCGGAUAGGAGCUCCUGCUGCAUGGUGGGGGUUGGAAAGUUUCGGCGGUUGGGGAUGGACUCGCGGCUUAUCAGCUUGUUGGUGGGGUAGUGGCUUACCAAGGCUUUGACGGGUAGCCGGCCUGAGAGGGUGACCGGGCACAUUGGGACUGCGAUACGGCCCAGACUCGUACGGGAGGCAGCAGUGGGGAACAUGGCACAAUGGGCGGAAGCCUGAUGCAGAAACGCCGCGUGCGGGAUGACGGCCUUCGGGUUGUAAACCGCUGUCGCCUGUGACGAAGCGUGAGUGACGGUAAUGGGUAAAGAAGCACCGGCUAACUACGUG